AUAUCUAAAGGGGAGAUACCAUGAUUGCAAAGGUGGUUUUCUCACAGCAAAGCUUAUCCAUUGCACUCAGGAUAUGCUAAAUGACUUCUGUGAUUUCCCCAAAUGUGGGAAACUCAACUGCAUAAUUUGUGGUAGCUCACAUUAAACUGAAACAGAAUAAAAUGUGUC